GUAGAAAGAAGUCAUUCCUAGAGAAUAACUUUGGAGAAUAUGAAACAUGACCAUAAGAGGAUGGAUCAUUCAAAACUCACAAAGGACAACAACCAGAACAAAUAAGCUUAUGAUGAAAUAAAGGCUCAACAAGGCUUCUCCUUACAGGCGGCUUCUUAGCUUGUUGAACUGGCAUGGCUGCAUAUUAUUAAAGCAACAGCAAGGUUUUGGGUCCAGGAUAGUUUAAGAACAAACUUUUCGAUAUCAAGGAAAAGGAUAUAUCCAGGGAAUAAGACCAAGAUUGCCCAUCUUACAUCAUUUACCAUGGAGCAGACCUCAGUGUUCACAAGAGAGGAAGAUGCCUACAGACCUGGGCUCAACAUGAAUAACUUCAGAGACAAAUGCUACAAAAAGUGAAGUGAUGAGCAGCCAGUGAUCAGCAAAUGUGAUAUAUGAGGGAGAAGGCAAGGUGGGAGCUUUGGGAGAAACCU
rnacentral:lncRNA from 1 species